rnacentral:rRNA from 1 species
CUUGAAACCGUGUGCUUACAAGUAGUCAGAGCCCGUUAAUGGGUGAUGGCGUGCCUUUUGUAGAAUGAACCGGCGAGUUACGAUCUGAUGCAAGGUUAAGCAGAAAAUGUGGAGCCGUAGCGAAAGCGAGUCUGAAUAGGGCGAAUGAGUAUUUGGUCGUAGACCCGAAACCAGGUGAUCUACCCUUGGUCAGGUUGAAGUUCAGGUAACACUGAAUGGAGGACCGAACCGACUUACGUUGAAAAGUGAGCGGAUGAACUGAGGGUAGCGGAGAAAUUCCAAUCGAACUUGGAGAUAGCUGGUUCUCUCCGAAAUAGCUUUAGGGCUAGCCUCAAGUGAUGAUUAUUGGAGGUAGAGCACUGUUUGGACGAGGGGCCCCUCUCGGGUUACCGAAUUCAGACAAACUCCGAAUGCCAAAUAAUUUAACUUGGGAGUCAGAAUGUGGGUGAUAAGGUCCAUAUUCGAAAGGGAAACAGCCCAGACCACCAGCUAAGGUCCCAAAAUAUAUGUUAAGUGGAAAAGGAUGUGGCGUUGCCCAGACAACUAGGAUGUUGGCUUAGAAGCAGCCAUCAUUUAAAGAGUGCGUAAUAGCUCACUAGUCGAGUGACACUGCGCCGAAAAUGUACCGGGGCUAAACAUAU